CUUGGAUAAUUUAGGGUGUUUGGCAAUAGUUUGCCAAUUGGCACGGAUCAAACGUGAAAGGUUAGUAAAGGCUGGAUUGUAUGUUAGAACAAACGGGACUAUUUUGCUGCGCCUCUUCCGUUUGUACUGUAAGAGGUCAUUGCGGCUGUUAUUGUUAGCGCGCGCAAACCCCUUAUCUAUGUCCAAUUUCUUAUAACCUCGUUUUGUCAAAAAUCCGCGAAGUUCCUGUAACCGUUUCGUGACAGCCUCCUCAGAGGAGCAAAUCCGCUUUACUCUGAAAGCUUGACUGUACGGGAUACUUUUUGUACAGUGUUUGGGUGACAGCUUUGGGGAGAAAGGUACUGAUGUUUAUCUGUGGGUUUACAGUAGAGGUCUGUUGAUAUGACACCGUCCUUUAUAGAUGUGGUUGUGUCUAAGAAAGAUAUUUUAGAGUCGGAAAUUUCAUACGUAAAUUUAAUUGAAUGGUGGGCGUUGUUUGCAUGUCUGAUGAAAUCAUCCAGUUUUUGUUGGGAUUCAAUCCAUUUCAUGUCAACAUCAUCAAUGAAACGGAACCAAGACAAAGGUUUGGAUAAAGAUGCUGCAAUAAUUUGUUUU
rnacentral:lncRNA from 1 species